rnacentral:rRNA from 1 species
AGCUGCAAUCGGUGACGGCAAGCAAAUCUCUUAAAGCCAGUCUCAGUUCGGAUUGUAGGCUGCAACUCGCCUACAUGAAGUCGGAAUCGCUAGUAAUCGCGGAUCAGCACGCCGCGGUGAAUACGUUCCCGGGCCUUGUACACACCGCCCGUCACACCACGAGAGUUUGUAACACCCGAAGUCGGUGAGGUAACCUAUUAGGAGCCAGCCGCCUAAGGUGGGAUAGAUGAUUGGGGUGAAGUCGUAACAAGGUAUC